GAUGAAGAACGUAGCGAAAUGCGAUACGUAAUGUGAAUUGCAAAUUCAGUGAAUCAUCGAGUCUUUGAACGCACAUUGCGCCCCCUGGUAUUCCGGGGGGCAUGCCUGUCCGAGCGUCAUUGCUGCCCUCAAGCACGGCUUGUGAGUUGGGCCCCGUCCUCCGAUCCCGGGGGACGGGCCCGAAAGGCAGCGGCGGCACCGCGUCCGGUCCUCGAGCGUAUGGGGCUUUGUCACCCGCUCUGUAGGCCCGGCCGGCGCUUGCCGAUCAACCCAAAUUUUUAUCCAGGUUGACCUCGGAUCAGGUAGGGAUACCCGCUGAACUUAAGCAUAUCAAUAAGCGGAGGA
rnacentral:misc_RNA from 1 species